UACGAAGGGACCUAGCGUAGUUCGGAAUUACUGGGCGUAAAGCGCGCGUAGGCCGUUGAGUUAGUUAAUUGUGAAAUCCCAAAGCUUAACUUUGGAACUGCAAUUAAAACUGCUCGACUAGAGUUUGAUAGAGGAAAGCGGAAUACAUAGUGUAGAGGUGAAAUUCGUAGAUAUUAUGUAGAACACCAGUUGCGAAGGCGGCUUUCUGGAUCAACACUGACGCUGAGGCGCGAAAGUAUGGGUAGCAAAGAGGAUUAGAUACCCUCGUAGUCCAUACCAUAAACGAUGAUUGCUAGAUGUUGGAAAUUUAUUUUCAGUAUCGCAGCUAACGCAUUAAGCAAUCCGCCUGGGGAGUACGACCGCAAGGUUAAAACUCAAAUGAAUUGACGGGGACCCGCACAAGCGGUGGAGCAUGUGGUUUAAUUCGAAGAUACGCGCAGAACCUUACCAACCCUUGACAUGUCUGUCGCGAGUUUAGGAAACUAGACUUUUCGGUUCGGCCGGACAGAACACAGGUGCUGCAUGGCUGUCGUCAGCUCGUGUCGUGAGAUGUUGGGUUAAGUCCCGCAACGAGCGCAACCCCUACUUUUAGUUGCCAUCAGGUCAUGCUGGGCACUCUGAAAGAACUGCCAGUGAUAAGCUGGAGGAAGGUGGGGAUGACGUCAAGUCCUCAUGGUCCUUACGGGUUGGGCUACACACGUGCUACAAUGGUAGUGACAAUGAGAUGCAAGGUGGCGACGCUAAGCUAAACUCAAAAAUCUACCUCAGUUCGGAUUGCACUCUGCAACUCGAGUGCAUGAAGCUGGAAUCGCUAGUAAUCGUAGAUCAGCGUGCUACGGUGAAUACGUUCCCGGGUCU
rnacentral:rRNA from 1 species